rnacentral:rRNA from 1 species
UACAGAGGGUGCAAGCGUUAAUCGGAAUUACUGGGCGUAAAGCGUGCGCAGGCGGUUGUGCAAGACAGAUGUGAAAUCCCCGGGCUUAACCUGGGAAUGGCAUUUGUGACUGCACGGCUAGAGUGUGUCAGAGGGGGGUAGAAUUCCACGUGUAGCAGUGAAAUGCGUAGAUAUGUGGAGGAAUACCGAUGGCGAAGGCAGCCCCCUGGGAUAACACUGACGCUCAUGCACGAAAGCGUGGGGAGCAAACAGG